ACAACAGGUAUGGGCUUCAUCCCCCGCCUGGACCUUGGUUUGUUUCAUUUUCCAUGAUGGAUGCCAGAUUGGUGUGCUGGUAUGAAAGCUUGUAGUGUUAGAUCGAGUCACGUAUAUAUGAGAUAAUAGCAGGACACAUGGAGCGACCGGUUGACGCGAGAGAGAAACCGAGAGAAGCUGCAGAGAUGGUGGUGGGCGGGGUGCUUGAACCCCGCCAACACGUCCUCGACUCCAUGACGAGCGGCGCCCGCGACAUCUGGUCGCCGGCGCGACUCAGACCACCUGUUGAAUCCCACCAGGAGGAGAACGAAAAAUGAACCAGAGAAGUAGGUGAUUCCCAAACUCAUCUCAUCUCCUAGAACAAUCUGUUUGGUUCAAUUUAUUGUUUGUGAGCAUUCUCCAGCGAAACAGAGUCUUAUGUAGCUAUUGACUGAUGUUACAUUGAAAAUGUGGUUGAUGUUUUACCUUGCUUGCUGCUAAUUUUUGCAUAUUGUACAUGGAUCUAAGUGAGAAAAGUCACAACAAGGAGAUUUGUAGGAGGAAGGCGACCACGGUGAAAAGGAUGAUCUUGAUGCACGCUGCAUAUUUGUUGAAAUGCAGCAAUGAAGGUGACUGUUGCCUGGAUCAAAUGAGGUCUCAAACCAAGCACCAUGGCAAGUGUUUUCCUCAAGCAGCAAGAACACAUCCAGUAGAGGUUGACAUCCUGAUCUGUGGUGAGUACCGCUGCGGCGUGCCACACCCCUGCAGACAUGCCUGGCAGCAGCAGCAGCAGUCGGCAGCUGCAAGGAUGGGAAGCCCUUGGAGAGGAUGAACUAAGAAGUUACAAAUUCAACCAUAUUUUUUUAUUUCAGAAGGUGAUGGUUUUCUCAUUCUCCCGUCAGUGGAGAUGUCCCCCAGAAAACUUUUAGUAUGCGUUUUUCAUCAGUUCAGAGUGGCAUAGGCUGGACAUUCAUUUCAGUGAAGUGCAUUUCAGGGGAAUAUGUGGAACGGUGUGGUGAGGAGCCCCCGGUUGUGGAGCAUUGACAGUGAGGCCACAUAGUUCUACAACAGAAUUAAGGGUUUGCACUGUUUAUAGUUCAUGCCGUUUCAAUAUGUCUAAAUGCUGCUGACCUAGAUAUAAGCAUCAUGUGUUACAACAUGGUUGACCUCUAUAUUUGUUUUCUUUUAAGUGCACACAUUCGUUGUCCUGUUAUCCUGUACGAAAGUGAGAUGUAUUCACAGUUUCCCGUCAUGAAAAAACUAUACAUACAUUCCUUGAAUAAAUAUACGAUGAUAAUUGCCAGGGACGAAACCUGCUUGGAAGCUUACUUACUUAGAGACUAGCUAACUGGCAUUUCAAAUAUCAUUCAUUCUUUAAAUUUUCGAAUAUUUUCCAGGUACAUUUUCGUUACAACUUUUAACACUAUUUACCUCAGUACAUAAGUAUAGUAUUUCUUACAGGUAUUGAUCCGAUUUUGUUCUUGGUUUCCUGCCAUAUGAUUCUAUAUUUUUUUACUCAUGUGUUGGUUGAAUGAUUCAAUUUAUAAUGGCCAUUACACACGGUCUGGUUAAGAUGAUUUUGCUAGAGUGGAUAUGACUAGAAGUAGUUAAGGGUAAAUUGAAACCCAAAAGAUACACAAUGGGUUGGUAUCUUAUUAACUUUGAUCAGAUCAAGUUCUUCUAUAUUUCUAUUUCGAUGAGAAAAAAUUGUCACCAAAUAAAAUACGAUCCUCCUGUUCAUUUCCUUACAAUUUUUACUGUGUUGUUCCUUUUCUUAUUGCUUUCUUUAGAUAGUUUUUUUCAGAUGGAAAAAAAUUGAGAGUUCUUCUCCUUUUGAGCGCAAUGCCUAUUUGGCUUCCUGAUGCGCAUAUCAAUCUUGCCUCUCUGGAUAACUUUGAUGUAUCCAAUAUGUGGUUACAACAAUACUCCUAUAUUUUCGGGCUUAUUGGCCAAUUAUAAGAGCUCAAUUGAUGGAGAAACACAAAACUUACCUAAGCUUCUAGAAAAGCAUAUGAAGAAAUUGAGGAAGAACUACUUCUCUUAGAUUGAGAACCAAGGUCCUUUUGUCACUUGGAAUUACGGCUACUGGUUUUCUCCUUCAUCGCCCUCUUGAUAGAGUAUGUCAUUUUGCCAGGAGUGAGUUUGAAUAUUUGGCUGGGCUGUUGUGAUCCAGAACUGUUGGAUACAAUACAUUGCAGGCAGAAGUAUGCAAUAUAAAUCAAACACAGUCCCACAAGAACGAAAAUGGAUCCAGACGCUUACCUGUUGAUUGUUUUCCGUUAGAUCAUACAGUGUUGCUGUGAGUAUGUAAUUCAUACUGUCAUUCUUCUCUUAAAUAUUCAGGCUGACUUUUGUGCUGUUAACUAAUAUUGUAUAAUGUUAGACAACUGUUGGUGUAUCUGUUGGGCUGUCUUCUUGUUCUCUGUUGUGGCCCAUUUGGCCCAGCCCAGUCCUGACCUAUAUAAGGUGCUUCUAUCUCUGUAACCCUAAG